AGAUCUGUACUCGUAUGUAAAAGUGGCGUAAGCGUCAGUAAGAAAAGCUUCGUCAUUAAAGAACAUGAUUAUAAAUAUUACGAGAUAUCCUAUGAGGAAGGGAGAAAAUUAGGUGACUAGAAAGCAAUGCUAUGGAAAUCUCAAGACUUCUCGUAGUGGAAGAAGAUUCGAGAAAGUUUUGUAGUCAGAAACACAGAGAAAAAUAAAUAAAGGACGGCCAAAAACUUUUAAAAAACAGUAUGAGUAGCAUGGAAUAGCAUGAAAUGG